AAAUAAAUAUUUAAAUAAAAAAAAGUAUUAUCAAUAAAAAGAAACCCCCUUGUAAUGUCGCGUCCCUGUGGAAUUCGCGUUCUAGCGGUACAUCCGCGUCGCUCGAUCGGCUCAUCCCCACCACCACUCCACUCCACUCGCUCACUCCCACAUGCAUGCGACUGCUUUGGGUGGGGUGCAUUCACCUCUAUAGUGCGCUCUCUGUUACGCGCACACAAUCUCUAACUGGCAAGAUCACUAGCUCUGUGUAUCCCUGCAGACUCCUGGGCCCGUGAUGUCCUGGGUACUCGUCCUGCCUAUUGGCAUAUCUACCAAACACUAAAAAUAUUGCGAAAAUAUGGCCAGAAUUUUGAGGAA